rnacentral:rRNA from 1 species
AUGUCUUGUGUCACAUCGGUGAGAUAUUCUGUCAAAUUUAAUGGGACCCUCUUAGAUUCAUUUGCACCGUCGCGUGGUCUUCGGCAAGGCAAUCCUCUAUCCCCCUUCUUGUUCCUUUUCGUGGCAGAUGGUCUGUCCGCUAUUCUGAAGCAUUAUGUGUCUUCUGGUGAUAUAUCUCCAAUCAAGGUGUGUAGAAGAGCACCGGGUAUCUCACAUCUUUUAUUUGCUGAUGACACCAUGCUUUUCUUUGAGGCAAGGAGAGCCCAGGCUGAGAAAGUUAAAUUGGCUUUGGAUCAAUACGGGGUAGCAACGGGACAAUCUCUUAAUUUUGAUAAGUGUUUCAUCCUCUUUGGUAUUGCAUGCCCCGAAGAUAUUCAGGAGGAAGUUAGGGGGGUGUUGCAUGUUACUAGCUUAGUGUUUGAGGAGAAGUACCUUGGCCUUCCAACUCCAGAGGGUCGCAUGUCGAAAGGGAGAUUCCAAAACCUUCAUAUGAGUUUAACCAAGCGUUUGGUCCAAUGGGGAGACGGUCACCUUGCCCAACCGGGGAGGGAGACUCUUAUUAAAUCUGUUGCGCUUGCUCUUCCUACAUAUAUGAUGGGUGUUUUCAAGAUUCCAUUCUCAGUGUAUGAUGAAUUAACACGGAUGGUACGUGCCUUUUAUUGGGGUGCUGAAAAAGGUAAGAGAAAAGUACACUGGCGUGCAUGGGAGGAUUUACAACAACCAAAGAGUAAAGGAGGUGCCGGGUUUAGAGAUUACAGAAUAUUUAAUCAAGCCUUAUUAGCAUGA